GAGGGUGCGAGCGGGUUAAUCGGAAUUACGUGGGCGUAAAGGGUGCGUAGGUGGUUGCAUAAGUUAGGUGUGAAAGUCCUGGGCUUAACCUGGGGACUGCGCCUAAGACUGUGCAGCUAGAGUACUGUAGAGGGAGGUGGAAUUUCCAGUGUAGCGGUGAAAUGCGUAGAUAUUGGAAGGAACAUCGGUGGCGAAGGCGACCUUCUGGACAGAUACUGACACUGAGGCACGAGAGCAUGGGGAGCAAACAGGAUUAGAUACCCUGGUAGUCCAUGCUGUAAACGAUGAGAACUGGCUGUUGGAUGUCUUCGGAUAUUUGGUAGCGAAGCUAACGCGUUAAGUUCUCCGCCUGGGGAGUACGGCCGCAAGGUUA
rnacentral:rRNA from 1 species